GCAUAUGGGACACUGUAGUACGAUCUCUUCACAUAGACAAGUUUGUAAAUGAUUAUUUUGUCUUCACAAAUUGUGCAGCGCAAUAAUCCACUCCUGGUUUUCUUAACGUCACGGUUUAACCCGAGUCUGCGCAUUCACUAGUGUGCUCGACUGCACGCAGCACUGCGCAGACUGAUCACCGGACGACAUCAAAGUAUCGCGAGAACGAAUUACACAUCCAGGGUCUCGCGGUAUUAUGAUGUCAUACGCCGGGCGAUUUGCGCCUCAUGAAGUUAACAAAACGCCUACCGUCAGCCUGAGGAAAUAACUUCCACCGAGAAUGAAUGCCGCUACCUUCCGUGACUGCAAGGCGUGGAGAUCGGAGGGUCUGUCGCUGUCCACCGGCAGUAAUGAAGCCUGUAAACUAUAUGAUGCUAUACUUUCUCAGUAUGUGACCUGGCGCAAUGAUGAAACAGUCGGAGGAAUUGAAGGUUGUAUUGCAGCUGUCAAAGCUGCAGAUCCUGACUUUGUGAUGGGUCAUGUGAUCUCUACUGGACUGGAAUUGGUGGGCACAGGAAGUUCAGUCCUGCGGGAUGAGAGACUGGCCAACGCCGUGAAGAUGACCGUGGAGCUGGCAAAAUCUCAGGAGCUCACACCCAGAGAGAGGAACCACGUGAAAGCCGUUGAGCUCUUCUCUAGAGGAGCCUUGCAUAAGGCCUGUGAGGUUUGGGAGGAUAUUCUAGUGGAUCACCCCACAGACAUGUUGGCACUUAAAUUUGCCCAUGAUGGAUUCUUCUACCUGGGUGAACAGAUUCAAAUGAGGGACUCGGUGGCCAGAGUGUUACCCCACUGGAAGCCACAUAUGCCGUUUUACAGUUAUCUUAAAGGGUUGUAUUCCUUCGGGCUGCUUGAGACCCAAUUUUAUGACGAAGCUUUAAAAGUGGCAAAAGAGGGUCUGGCUUUGACCCCUCAGGAUGGCUGGAGUGUUCAUUCUGUGGCUCACGUCCAUGAGAUGAAGGCAGAGGUGGACAAUGGGCUAAGGUUCAUGGCUUCUACCGAGAAAGACUGGACGGUGUGUGACAUGUUGGCGUGUCAUAAUUACUGGCACUGGGCCCUUUAUCACAUUGAGAAGGGGGAGUAUGAAGCAGCUUUAAAGAUUUUUGAUGAGCAGGUUUCUCAGCGCUGUGUGAAAUCUGGAGCCUCGCUGGACACCGUGGAUGCUUGUUCUCUGCUCUACAGACUAGAGCUGGAGGGUGGGAUAUCAUUCAGUCUCAACAAAGAUUCCUGUGUGAGCACGAAAGACCGCUACCGAGAGUUGCUCCAGGUCACCGAGCCUCAUACAGAAGACCACACGUUGCUUUUCAAUGAUCUGCACUUCCUCAUGGUUUCCCUGGGCAGCAAGGACACGAGCAUCACUCAGCGCCUGGUGGAGAGUCUGCAGGAACUAGCUAAAGAGCCAGCAGAUAACCAUCAGCUCCAUAUAGCCGAGCGUGUGGGUCUGCCCAUGUGUCAGGCUCUGCUGGAGUUUGACCAAGGGAACUACAGCCAGGUUGUCGAGUUGCUCAAACCCAUCAGAUACCGCUUUGUGGAGAUAGGGGGCAGUGGCGCACAGAGGGAUAUUUUUAAUCAACUCCUCAUUCAUGCUGCCAUGAAGUCUGGAGACAAACACCACCAAAGGUUUGCGAGUCUGCUGGUGAGGUAACGGACUCAAUGGGACCUGCUCCGGUGGACUGCAGAACUUCAAGAAUUCAUUUACAGAAUGAGAGAGCAAGACCAUCCUUUAGAUCCUGCUUGGCAUUCUCACUGACCUGGGAACGAUAGGACGAACAGUUGGGAAUCAGUCACAGCGUCAGACUGACUGUGAACCCAAGACUAAAGAAAGAUCUUACUCCCAGGACAUUGCACGACUGUAUUUAACCAGAAAUCCCCCGUCGUGCUGUGCAAGCGUUGCCGUACCAUUAAAGAGCCGUUACACUGAAAUAUUCACAGAGCGCUUGACAGGAGCUCAGGUAUUCCUGUCAUCUCUCCCCCAGAUUUUACAUGCUCAGAAGAACGUGCGUCAGGUUACAGCGCCCCACACACAUCUGUUUCUCGCUGAUGUAGCAGUUUCAGCACAUCAGGAGCUCAGAGGGUCAGUCGUUUAGAAGCUCUCGGGAUGGAGGGUCUCUUCCUUCAAUUACAUAUGAAAGCAAACGUUUCAAGGGCAUGUUCCUUCCAGCUGCUUAAUCCACAACGCACCCAAACAAGAUGUGAGUUAUGACGCUGAACUCGUUCAUGGCAGAACACAAUAAUGAAUCAAUAUCCACAACAAUUAUUUGGCCAUCUUAAAUUCGAAUUACUCAAGAAUGACACGGCUGCGUCGGGCGUUCACAGCGUGGUUGGAAAGGGCCCAUAUUGCCGUUGAAUGCGAAAUGCGACUUCUUAUUCCGACAGUGAAAACAAGUCACUCAACAGCACAAAAGCUGACAGACUAGCCCUUAUCAAAACGCUGUGCAAAAACCCGUCUCCUGAAUGCACGAUACCCCGGAGGACCUAAAAACGAACUGCCGUGCUUUUUUCCUCUCUAAGAAGAGAUUUACAGAGCUGCAAAUCAUAUCUCAACUUUUGAGGUUUCUGAGAAAUGCAAUCACAUCCGAUAGAUCUAAUUGAGGUUAGUGCCCAAAGGACAUGGAGUGCAAAUCCUGUUAACCACAAAUGAGUCUCCAGGAGGACCUGCUGGAGGCAUAUAAAGAAGGCAGAUCAGUCUGAGAUAAAUACCACUGGAGGUGUUUCCAUCAUUACCCUAGAAACAGAACCAUUGCUGUGAGAUCGAAUGGAGGGAUUCACGCUCCCCUUUGGGUCAUUAGACGGCAAUCCCAAAAUGCAUUUCUGCCGCCGUUUCAUUAGGCAUCCAGUUCAUGUUAAUUAAAAAGGAAAAAAGGUAACUAAGACAAGGUCUGGUGUCAUAUUCCAGGCACCAGGUGAGAGGUGCAAGCAUAGAGAGCCGGGCACGAUCCGACAUGUUGGCAUUGAUUUCCUGCAUAAUUUGCUUGCGGGUGACACGGAAAGUGCUGACUGGGGCAUGCUACUCCUGCAAUCUGCAUUAAUUCACAGGUUAGGUGAAGAUUAGCAUCGAUUCUUCUGCCAGGAGUUGAGUUGGGGGUGCGAUGGUGAAUGUUUCACCGCUCAGGAAUGAUCUAUGAAGGGCUAAAUCAAGAGGACUUUAAGGUAAGGAAGCUAACCUGUAAUGGAAACAGUUACCCAGCAGCCCGUGAGCCUUAGUAGCUAGAUAGAAUAUGGUCAGUUAAUUUCAAUAAAUAGGAAUUGAACUAUUAUAUAUAAACUGCUUAAUUUUAGGGAGCAGGAAACAUAUUUGCCUUUAUUUCCUUUUAUAAGCUAUGAUGUAAUCUUCUGUAAAUGCUUCUCGAUGAGGCAUGACUUUUCCCAUAAGGCUCACUUUUUGUUUAAAUAAAGGGCUUCUGAUGACCAAAUAAUGAUCUUUUUGUGCUAGAGAAAGGGAGUAAUAUUCGCUUUAAAUUGCAGUGCUGCAAAUUUCAUUUUGCUAUUUUUGGCACUCCAUAAAGCCAAUGAGAGAGCUUGCUUUCUGCAUAUAUCCGAUACUCCACACACCUUUUGAUUGGUCCUGAAUCCGCAUUCAUACAAAUACAUGCAAAGUCAACGGAUACAUGUGAUGGUGUCUUUCUAAAAUCAUAUGAAGAGUUCAGAUUCAAAACUCCAUCAAAAAUUUGAUUUCAACGUUGCGUGCUCUCCACACAUAGUACGUAACGUUAGUUAAGUAAUUUUGCUUCAAAACCCGCUAAAUACCACACUCUGCCCGGUCUGAAAUAUCUGAUAUUGCUGAAAGUAAAUGCAGGAGCCUGAUGAAAAAUGCUCAUUUAAACGAAAAGUCACCUGACGGAUUUAAGGCGUUUUGCACCUGAACUCUUCAUAUCACAUUAAAGCAAGCAUUGUAAUGAGAUACUAUUUGUGACCCUGUCUGUGCAAUCCAGGCUAAAGUCUCAUAAUCUAAUUGAGAUAACAAGCAUCAACGUUUGAUUUCAAACAUUAAUUUCAAUCUUUUACAUGGUAAUACUAAGUCAAUCUUAAAGACAGCGAGGUCAUAUUUUCAAUGUCCUUUACAUUAUGUAGGAUGAUUUUAUGUAGAAAACAGGAAUUCAAAAAAAUGACUUUAGCUGGGUUUUCAGGCUGGGUCACAUAUAUCCUGCAUACAAUUCAACAAGAACAUGAUGUUAUUCAUCUGAAAUCACAAUAAAUAGUGUCAAAAACAAUGUCCCGACUGGCUGAUGACACGGACUUACCAAUACUGAUAUCUUUGACAAAGACAGCACACAAAACAAAAUUUACAUUUUCUGAUUUUAGAAGCCGUAACAAAAAAUGUCCAUAGAUGGAAAAAGAUGCCUCGUGCUUCCAAUAAGGGUGCACUUUAUGAUAUCUAACAGCCCUGAAUUAUACGAUACUUCAGGAUUACAAUAGUUAAUAAAACACUCACAGGAAAGUGCUUCAUACCCUAUAUUUCUGAAACACAUCAUUCAUCAAAAUCAGGUAUUAAAAACAAUUUAGACAACAAUCCCGGCGGGAUCUUAACGUUUUCAUUGUGAUGUUUAAAGGAUUACGCUGUAUUAUGGUUACCUUUGUUACGCCCUGCACACAGGUUUUUUAAUAUAAGAAUGUCUGAACUGUAUAUUCUUAUAUUAAAAUAUAAGAAAAAGGAAAUGUUUCUCAUGCUGUUAAAGAAACUGGAGGACUUGAGGGUAAAUUUAUUUUUAAUUGGGCCAGGAACUGCUAUGAAUCACCGGCUGAGGUGAAGGUAAGUGGGCAUAAACAGACUAACGUUCAAGCUGGGCCAAUUCUCAGUCCUCUGAAAAAAAAACAGUCAUACUGCCUCAAUAUCAACCACCACUGAGCCUUUAUCAGAUUCUUCUGUUUUCCAGCCAAACGGAUGGUUGACUAUUUAUCUUUAAAAGGUACAAAACACAAAUAAGGUACAAACAUAAAAUAAAACGGACCAUUAGCAGUCACAGCUUUGGAUCUUGUGCGUUUAAGUAAUGCAGAGUUGUUUAGAGCUAAUUCUAUACAAAGAUUUUUAACCACGCCAUUGGUGCGAAACACCAACUGAUCCGACCAGACCCGAGAGCUAAUGAGCCCGUUCAAAGACAAUAGUGCAGGAAAUCGAAGCGAUGGGAGACGUGCUUAUUGAAAGACUUUUCCCCAGACGCAGAAAUCAAGCAACCGAGUAAAUUAUGUUAAGAAAGUGGUAAACAACUUUAUUAGACGCUCAGACUGGGACUAAUUACAAACGUCUGUCUAAUUCCUCGUACAAACAAAAGUCACAAGCAAAAACACUUUGUUUCAAAGUCCCCAUUUAGGAUGUCAUUUCUAAAGAUUUUUCGCACAUUCGUGCAUACGUCACUACCCGCAUGCUUCAAAUCUCUUCAGAAGAAAAGGGUGGCGAUUAAGAAACUUGUCAAGUGUUGAAGGCAAAAAAGAUGUGUUUAAAUGUAACAUUUCCCACAGCAAAAAGCUUUUAAAGGUCUUUCAUUCACUUUGUGAGGAAGAGACAAGAAAGCGAACGAGAUAAAGAAAAACUGCCUCUCCAAUUUUUACUUCACGGAGGCUCGGUACCAAAACUCCCAUUAGCUAGAAGUGUGAGGGGGGUAGUGUUGCAUUGCAGCGUGUCCCUCAACUCCACCAGGGCAUUCGUUCGACAGCCCGCACCUUCCUUUCCUUCAAAAACACCUUGAGACUGCCACUCAGUCACCUGCCUCCAUCAGCAUAUCAAACACCCAAAUGUCAACCCAGGUGAUUCAAUCGAUAAGAUCCUAAUAUUUUGUUACCUCGGACCAAAUGGCAGACAAAUCCCCCACAAUCCCUUGCGUAAACCGCAGAUUUCAUAAAAGCAAAGCACGAGUCGGAGUUGAAGAAGGACGGGGCUUUGAUAAGGCCGUGACACACCUUUGGAGGAAUCUGCUGAGGUGGCAGUGUUGUCUGCAUAAGAAUGGGUUUGAUGUUACAUGUUACGGCAGUCAAAUGAGCCAUGAGUGUAGCAGCGGUGUGUAUUUAAAUAUAUAAAAAGGAUGCUGUUUGGCAUCCUGCACUGCCGGGAAAAAAAGAACAAAACUGUACCUUAUAAAGGUACAAUAGCCGUCACUGGAGUGGUAGCCGCAAGUGCUCCUUUUUGUACCUCUAAAGGUACAAAACAUAUUUUUUACCUUAUUUUUGGCACCUAAUUGCACAUUAGGUCAUUAGGGUGUAUUUAUGUACCCAAAAAGAUAAAACAUUUAGAGAUACAAAAGGAGCAUUGAAGGCUACCACCCCAGUAAUGCUAAAAGGUACAGAUUUGAACUUUUUCUACAGUAGUGCUUUAUAGCUAGAUGCAAGACUGAAACAUAAAUAGAUAAAUGGCGGCGUAAAAGCGCAGUCUAUGAAAACUCCUGUGAAUUAUGACUCAGCCUGAAUCAGAUGAUAUAGACUAAUUAUAUCAGCUUGUUUGUAAUAAAUAAGGAUGUAAUGAAUCUGGCGAGCAUGAAUGAAUCAGGCUGUUCAAACUAUUUAUGAGAAGACUUUUCUAUUAAAAAUAAGUAACUGGUACAUAACCGGUACAUAUUGAAUAGUUCAAGAGGUUUUGUGUUAAAAUACUUUUGUAUUUACACUUUACAAUAAAGUUGUGAGCAUUUGAAGACCAAGCAGAAUAUUCUGGGGUGACAAAUGUGCAUGCAGAAAGCGGCAAGCCAUAUGAGCUUGCCAUUAUUUACCACAAACUGCCUUUAUACUUAACUGUAUACAUACUUGUAUAUAUAUUUACAUUCCCUUGGUUCUUAUUAUAGUGUGUAGCUUCCUGUAUGAUCAAUGACUAUUUGUGUGGUUUGUGAUAGUCUGCACAUUUCAGUUCAUUUGAACGGUGGCUACAGUCUGAUGUUGAGAUCUCACGACUAUUAUAAACGAAUGUGCAAGCAUUUAUUGAUGCUCAAUAAGGUCAUACAAAAUACCACAGGCAUGUAAACUUAAACAGAAUUCAGUUAUGAUGUAUACAUUAUCUUGUGUAAAUAACGUAUGUACUGUAUAUUCUGAA